GGGGGUACAGCUUAGUGGUAGAGCAUUCGACUGCAGGGUCGAAAGGUACCCGGUUCAAACCUGGGUGCCCCCU